GCAACUUGCUUAGAAUCAGCUGUUCUUCAGCGAGCAAGACUGAUGAAAAUAAUUCAGAAUUACAUACUUUGUUGUGAAUUGUGAUCUAAGUCUUUUGUAAAAAAUUAGACACUUCGAACAAAGGAAUCUGUGUUUUAGGAGAUAAGUCAUAUUUCUAUGUUAGGAGCAAUGUUUAAGGGUUUGAUUAUCUUUGGCACAGGAGUAUAUGCAGGAGUUUAUUUAGCACAAAACUAUGAGAUAGAAAAAGUUGAAGAUCCCAAAGUUUUAUUCGAAAAGGCUCAGGCAUUUUUAAAAGCAAAGUUAUCUGAAGUAAAUGACGA